rnacentral:rRNA from 1 species
GGAAUUUUGCGCAAUGGGCGAAAGCCUGACGCAGCAACGCCGCGUGGAGGAUGAAGGUCUUCGGAUCGUAAACUCCUGUCAGGGGGGACGAAAGCCGCGCAAGCGGUUUGACUGUACCCUCUGAGGAAGCCACGGCUAACUCCGUGCCAGCAGCCGCGGUAAUACGGAGGUGGCAAGCGUUGUUCGGAAUUACUGGGCGUAAAGGGCGCGUAGGCGGCUUGGCAAGUCAGAUGUGAAAGCCCCAGGCUUAACUUGGGAAUUGCAUCUGAAACUGCUUUGCUUGAGUCCUGGAGGGGGUAGUGGAAUUCCCAGUGUAGCGGUGAAAUGCGUAGAUAUUGGGAGGAACACCUGCGGCGAAGGCGGCUACCUGGACAGUGACUGACGCUGAGGCGCGAAAGCUAGGGGAGCAAACGGGAUUAGA